GGCUGGUCCGAGUGCAGUGGUGUUUACAACUAAUUGAUCACAACCAGUUACAGAUUUCUUUGUUCCUUCUCCACUCCCACUGCUUCACUUGACUGGCCUUUA
rnacentral:Y_RNA from 1 species